AUACGGAGGGUGCAAGCGUUAAUCGGAAUUACUGGGCGUAAAGCGUACGUAGGCGGUUCGUUAAGUUAGAUGUGAAAGCCCCGGGCUUAACCUGGGAACUGCAUUUAAAACUGGCGUACUAGAGUUGAGUAGAGGGGAGUGGAAUUUCAGGUGUAGCGGUGAAAUGCGUAGAGAUCUGAAGGAACACCAGUGGCGAAGGCGACUCCCUGGACUCGAACUGACGCUGAGGUACGAAAGCGUGGGUAGCAAACGGGAUUAGAUACCCUAGUAGUCC
rnacentral:rRNA from 1 species